GACGAACGCUGGCGGCGUGCCUAACACAUGCAAGUCGAACGGAACUGUUUUGAAAGAUUUCUUCGGAAUGAAUUUGAUUUAGUUUAGUGGCGGACGGGUGAGUAACGCGUGAGUAACCUGCCUUCAAGAGGGGAAUAACAUUCUGAAAAGAAUGCUAAUACCGCAUGACAUAUCGGAACCACAUGGUUUCGAUAUCAAAGAUUUUAUCGCUUGAAGAUGGACUCGCGUCCGAUUAGUUAGUUGGUGAGGUAACGGCUCACCAAGACCGCGAUCGGUAGCCGGACUGAGAGGUUGAACGGCCACAUUGGGACUGAGACACGGCCCAGACUCCUACGGGAGGCAGCAGUGGGGGAUAUUGCGCAAUGGGGGCAACCCUGACGCAGCAACGCCGCGUGAAGGAUGAAGGUUUUCGGAUUGUAAACUUCUUUUAUUAAGGACGAAAAAUGACGGUACUUAAUGAAUAAGCUCCGGCUAACUACGUG
rnacentral:rRNA from 1 species